AUACAGAGGGUGCGAGCGUUAAUCGGAGUGACUGGGCGUAAAGGGCGCGUAGGCGGAUAUAUUAGUCUGAUGUGAAAGACCUGGGCUUAACCUGGGAUGUGCAUUGGAAACGGUAUAACUAGAGUAUGAGAGAGGGAAGUGGAAUUUCCGGUGUAGCGGUGAAAUGCGUAGAGAUCGGAAAGAACACUCGUGGCGAAGGCGACUUCCUGGCUCAAGACUGACGCUGAGGCGCGAAAGCGUGGGGAGCAAACAGGAUUAGAUACCCUGGUAGUCCACGCUGUAAACGAUGAGAACUGGAGGUAUGUUGGCGUAAGCCGAUGUGUCUCUAAGCUAACGCACUAAGUUCUCCGCCUGGGGAGUACGGCCGCAAGGUUAAA
rnacentral:rRNA from 1 species